rnacentral:rRNA from 1 species
GUGGGGAAUAUUGCACAAUGGGCGAAAGCCUGAUGCAGCAACGCCGCGUGAGGGACGACGGCCUUCGGGUUGUAAACCUCUUUUAGUAGGGAAGAAGCGAAAGUGACGGUACCUGCAGAAAAAGCACCGGCUAACUACGUGCCAGCAGCCGCGGUAAUACGUAGGGUGCAAGCGUUAUCCGGAAUUAUUGGGCGUAAAGAGCUCGUAGGCGGUCUGUCGUGUCUGCUGUGAAAACUGGAGGCUCAACCUCCAGCCUGCAGUGGGUACGGGCAGACUAGAGUGCGGUAGGGGAGAUUGGAAUUCCUGGUGUAGCGGUGGAAUGCGAAGAUAUCAGGAGGAACACCGAUGGCGAAGGCAGAUCUCUGGGCAGUAACUGACGCUGAGGAGCGAAAGCGUGGGGAGCGAACAGGAUUAGAAACCCCGGUAGUCC